rnacentral:rRNA from 1 species
CUCGACGCAGGCGCGAGCCUCCGAAAGCGUUGUCUUUGCUUUUUAACAGUCUGUCUCCCUGAAAUCAGAUUAUCUGGAGAAAGGGAUAAAUGGCUGGCAAAGCACCCUGUGAUCCGGGGUGUCGGAAGCGCUCGCGACUGUCCAUGAAAAGGGGAGGGAAAGUAUCAUUCGCACCCCUGGUCGUACCAAUAACCGCAUCAGGUCUCCAAGGUUAGCA